CCGUUUGUGGAGCUUGCGAGGUUAUGUCGAUUGUCCGAGUUUUGUAGCACCCGUUCGGUAACCGUGUACCCGAGGCAGCAAAACAAUGCUGUUGAUUCGACAUUUCCUCCUAGAGCUAUCGCACAAUGGAUACGAGAGUUGUAGAGGGAGACAUUGUUCAAUUAAGCAAGGAUGCGAGGGGUUAGAAGUUCCAUUGUUCAUCUUGGCCCAAGCUUGAAAAAAGAAAAAUCGCAAAUAUUCUCGCGUAUAAAAAAGCGACCUACUGGGUCGAGGUUUUCCAAGAAUUUUUUCUGGUUUUGUUUAAUAAUAAAUAAAGAGCAUUUUUCAAA